rnacentral:rRNA from 1 species
CGCGUAGGUGGCCUUCUUAGUCAGACGUGAAAUCCCCAGGCUUAACCUGGGAACUGCGUCUGAUACUGGAAGGCUCGAGUUCGGGAGAGGAAUGUGGAAUUCCAGGUGUAGCGGUGAAAUGCGUAGAUAUCUGGAGGAACACCGGUGGCGAAGGCGGCAUUCUGGCCGAAACUGACGCUGAGGCGCGAAAGCCAGGGGAGCAAACG